rnacentral:rRNA from 1 species
UACGUAGGGUGCGAGCGUUGUCCGGAUUUAUUGGGCGUAAAGAGCUCGUAGGCGGCUUCGUGAGUCGGGUGUGAAAACCCCACGCUUAACGUGGGGACGCCACUCGAUACUGCGAUGGCUAGAGUCUGGUAGGGGAUCACGGAAUUCCUGGUGUAGCGGUGAAAUGCGCAGAUAUCAGGAGGAACAUCGGUGGCGAAGGCGGUGAUCUGGGCCAGUACUGACGCUGAGGAGCGAAAGCGUGGGGAGCAAACAGG